rfam:Clostridium sp. CAG:433 genomic scaffold, scf34
AAAUUGCCUAGAAGAGAUACAGGUGUAAUAAAACCGACUAAAUGACUUAUAAGGGAAUCAGAAUUAGUAGGUGGUGUUGAAUACUUAAAUUUAUUUAAGGAUCCUAAAGCCUAUUAUGGGAUGCCCACCUGCACAUACGUGUAGGUUUAUAGUCCCUGCCUCUUCAUUAGGCAUUUUU